rnacentral:rRNA from 1 species
GACGAACGCUGGCGGCGUGCUUAACACAUGCAAGUCGAACGGAAAGGCCCUGCUUUUGUGGGGUGCUCGAGUGGCGAACGGGUGAGUAACACGUGAGUAACCUGCCCUUGACUUUGGGAUAACUUCAGGAAACUGGGGCUAAUACCGGAUAGGAGCCCCUGCUGCAUGGUGGGGGUUGGAAAGUUUCGGCGGUUGGGGUUGGACUCGCGGCUUAUCAGCUUGUUGGUGGGGUAGUGGCUUACCAAGGCUUUGACGGGUAGCCGGCCUGAGAGGGUGACCGGCCACAUGGGGACUGAGAUACGGCCCAGACUCCUACGGGAGGCAGCAGUGGGGAAUAUUGCACAAUGGGCGGAAGCCUGAUGCAGCAACGCCGCGUGCGGGAUGACGGCCUUCGGGUUGUAAACCGCUUUCGCCUGUGACGAAGCGUGAGUGACGGUAAUGGGUAAAGAAGCACCGGCUAACUACGUG